CCUACGGGGGGCAGCAGUGGGGAAUAUUGCACAAUGGGGGAAACCCUGAUGCAGCGACGCCGCGUGAGUGAAGAAGUAAUUCGUUACGUAAAGCUCUAUCAGCAGGGAAGAAACACUGACCUUACGGUCAGCAGACGGUACCUGAGUAAGAAGCCCCGGCUAACUACGUGCCAGCAGCCGCGGUAAUACGUAGGGGGCAAGCGUUAUCCGGAUUUAUUGGGUUUAAGGGGUUCGCAGGCGGAGGCACAAGUCAGCGGUAAAAUCGCGGGGCUCAACCCCGCCCCGCCGUUGAAACUGUGUCCCUUGAGUGCGCGAAGGGUAGGCGGAAUGCGUGGUGUAGCGGUGAAAUGCAUAGAUAUCACGCAGAACUCCGAUCGCGAAGGCAGCCUACCGGCGCACAACUGACGCUCAUGCACGAAAGCGUGGGUAUCGAACAGGAUUAGAUACCCGUGUAGUC
rnacentral:rRNA from 1 species